AUCUUAGCGGUGGAUCACUCGGUUCGUGGAUCGAUGAAGAACGCAGCUAGCUGCGAUAAAUAGUGCGAAUUGCAGACACAUUGAGCACUAAAAUUUCGAACGCACAUUGCGCCAUCGGGUUCAUUCCCAUUGGCACGUCUGGCUGAGGGUCAGUAUAUUAAGGAGUAUGAUCGGCGCGCCAAUUUAUGGAAUGUGCUUAACGCGCAAGGUUGUGGUGCAUUCUCUCGCAAGGUGCAUUCGGUGAGCUAUGCUGGUGUGGUAAUGGAUAUUGUGUAAUUGUACCGCGUACCUUGCCAAGCAAAUGUUUGCACAAGAAAUGGCUGUCGUUUGCUCGUAAAGAGGCGAAAUUGGCCAUCGGUGUAUGUUGUGUUGCUUCACGAUACGGCCUCCAGCAAACGUUGUUUAUUGAUUGAUUGUGGCAGCACCCAGGUUGGAGGUGGCAUUAUCGGUCGCUUGAAUGAGGAAUGCAUGGGGAAUGGUUGAAAUGAGAUUUUUUUUGACCUCAGCUCAGUCGUGAGCACCCGCUGAAUUUAAGCAUAUAACUAAGCGGAGGGAAAGAAACUAACGAGGAUUCCUCUAGUAACGGCGAGUGAAUGGGGAAAAGCCCAGCCCUGAAUCCAUUGCCCACUGGUCGCUUGGAAUUGUAGCGUAUAGGUGCGGUUGUCCGUUUGUUUCGCGCACCCAAAGUCCCCUUGAGUGGGGCUAUAGUCCAAAGAAGGUGCUAGACCUGUACGGGUGGCGAGACGAUCGGUUGGUUGCUCCUUGGAGUCGGGUUGCCUGGGAUCGCAGCCCAAAGUUGGUGGUAGACCUCAUCUAAGGCUAAAUAUGGCCAUGAAACCGAUAGCAAACAAGUACCGUGAGGGAAAGUUGCAAAGAACUUUGAAGAGAGAGUUCAAGAGGGCGUGAAACCGCUGAGAU
rnacentral:ncRNA from 1 species